rnacentral:tRNA from 1 species
GCCUGGGUGGCUCAGUUGGUUAAGCGUCUGACUUUGGCUCAGGUCAUAAUCUCACGGUUUGUGGGUUCAAGCCCCAUGUCAGCCU